rnacentral:lncRNA from 1 species
UACGUUCGACGGGAUUCAGAGGUGGUACUGCUCUUCUUCUAUGCCCCUUGGUGUGGACAGUCCAUCGCUGCCAGGGCAGAAAUUGAGCAAGCAGCAAGUCGGCUUUCAGAUCAGGUGUUGUUUGUGGCAAUUAACUGUUGGUGGAACCAGGGGAAAUGCAGAAAACAGAAACACUUCUUUUAUUUUCCUGUAAUAUAUCUGUAUCAUCGGAGUUUUGGACCAAUCGAAUACAAAGGCCCCAUGAGUGCUGUUUACAUUGAGAAGUUUGUCCGCCGGGUGAUGAAACCACUUCUCUACAUCCCAUCUCAAUCAGAAUUACUAGAUUUUCUCUCAAACUACGAGAGGCCUGGCGAGGUGCUUCAUGCCUGCAACCCCAGCACUUGGGAGGCCAAGGUGGAGGAUUGCUGGAAGCCAGGAAUUCAAGACCAGCCUGGGCAACAAAAUUAGACCCUGUGUCUAUAACAAAAUGUUAAAAAUUAGCCAAGCAUGGUGGCACAUGCCUGUAGUCCCAGCUCUACUUGGGAGGCUGAGGCUGAAGGAUUGCUUGAGUCCAGGAGUUUGGCGUUACAGUGAGCUAUGAUGGCACCACUGCACUCCAUCCUGGGCAACAGAGUGAGACUCCAUCUCAAAACAAAACAAAGACAAGACUCUGAGACCAGAAACAAUUUCUAGGACAACAGUUUUGCCUUUAAGUUACUUAAACAUCACAGAAAGCCAUUAAAGGCCUGGAGUACUCGGGUACUUUGAGUUCAGUGGCUCACCCCAGCCUCCUGGUUAUUUGACCUUCUUCACCUCAGCAUUACAUUCAUUAAAGAAAGCUCACAUACAGAAAGAAUCACAGCUGCCAGGCGCGGUGGCUCACGCCUGUAAUCCCAGCACUUUGGGAGGCCGAGGCGGGCGGAUCACGAGGUCAGGAGAUCGAGACCAUCCUGGCUAACAUGAUUACCUAGGAACAGUACGAUUUGGGGUUAUCACAAAUAAACAUCUUGCGAAACUGGUAUCCUUAGUACACUCUGGAAGUGUGUAUUUACAUAGACAUUUCAACACAUCACUUGUCUUCCCCAGGGAGGUCCUGAACUACACAGCUGAGAACAUCUGUAAGUGGGCCUUAGAAAACCAGGAGACGCUCUUUCGGUGGCUGCGGCCACACGGAGGCAAGAGUCUCCUGCUGAAUAACGAGCUGAAGAAAGGACCAGCGCUGUUUCUGUUCAUACCUUUUAAUCCCCUGGCCGAAAGUCAUCCUUUA